UCACAAUUUAAUCUCCACUAUCACAAGCAUGUUUCAGUAAGCAUGAAGACUACAGUCUCACAAUUCUGACCGAGGAAAUAUAAUUUAGAAUUAACUUCCUUCCAAAUUAAGACAUUCCUCUGAUGUGCUGCCCAGUGGAAUAAAGUUGCAUUCUCUGACAGUACUUAGCCCCACCCAGCUGAUCUUUUGUGUACAGAUAUGCGGAGACCUAAUACCAAGUUACUAAAAGCAUCUCUCUGCAGCCUUGCCUGUAUCUUCACUUAGCUCAUUUUACUUUCUGUUGCAGCCUCUCUGAGAUGGGUUUAGCACUGCUAUCAUUUAAAGGCAGCAAGAUUAUCUUCAAGAAAAACAGCUCUAAAAUCCAUCCAUCCUAUUGACGUCAAUUGCUUAGGAAGGGAGUGAAUACAGAAAACUUCGUAGAAAGUCAGCUCUGCGUGUUUUAUCUUAGAUUUCCAAGUGAAAACAAUUGCUAGAAAGCCUGAGGUUGUUGCUGAUUAUAAAACAGUGAUUUUUCCCCUCCUGUGAUUUUUAAAAAUUCAGUGGUUUGAACUAUCUGAAUCAAAGUUUAAACUUUGAUUUAUGUAGCUGUAUAAGAAUUUUGCAAUGUCAGCUGUGAAGUUUGAAUUGGAUAAUCUUUCUCCUGAAGGAUUCAGACAUGAGCAUGUUUCCAGCUCAGAGUUUACUUUAACCUGCUUGACUGAACUUUCUGGUGAUUCUAGUCAAUGGGAACUUCAGCACUACAAUUCUGUCCCUGUUGAAUCAGAGCCUCUUUGCUUUCUUCUGAGAUUGGUGCCAUGUAAAGACAAGGACACUGCCCAAAGAUGAAACAGACUGGCACAGAUGAGCUAGUUGGGUAAAGACUUCUGCCUCCUGAAAGUGUGAUUCUUUCCAGACACAUAUAGUUUAAAUUAAUAAAAUCAUGGAAUUGGAUAGUUGAACAAAAGAGGCUAAUUUUUAUUUAUUUUUUGCAACACAUUUUCUUUGAGCAGAGAUAAGAGAUGAGGAAAUGGACACAG
rnacentral:lncRNA from 1 species